rnacentral:rRNA from 1 species
CCUACGGGAGGCAGCAGUAGGGAAUAUUGCUCAAUGGGGGAAACCCUGAAGCAGCAACGCCGCGUGGAGGAUGAAGGUUUUCGGAUUGUAAACUCCUUUUGUUAGAGAAGAUAAUGACGGUAUCUAACGAAUAAGCACCGGCUAACUCCGUGCCAGCAGCCGCGGUAAUACGGAGGGUGCAAGCGUUACUCGGAAUCACUGGGCGUAAAGAGCGCGUAGGCGGGAUAGCAAGUCAGAUGUGAAAUCCUAUGGCUUAACCAUAGAACUGCAUUUGAAACUGGUAUUCUAGAGUAGGGGAGAGGGAGGUGGAAUUGUUGGUGUAGGGGUAAAAUCCGUAGAGAUCAAGAGGAAUACUCAUUGCGAAGGCGACCUGCCAGAACAUAACUGACGCUGAUGCGCGAAAGCGUGGGGAGCAAACAGGAUUAGAUACCCCAGUAGUC